rnacentral:piRNA from 1 species
UGAAGUCAGUGCUGGCUUCUUUGUG